GAUGAACGCUGGCGGCGUGCCUAAUACAUGCAAGUCGAGCGAACAGACGAGGAGCUUGCUCCUUCGACGUUAGCGGCGGACGGGUGAGUAACACGUAGGUAACCUACCUAUAAGACUGGGAUAACUUCGGGAAACCGGAGCUAAUACCGGAUAAUAUUUCGAACCGCAUGGUUCGAUAGUGAAAGAUGGCUUUGCUAUCACUUAUAGAUGGACCUGCGCCGUAUUAGCUAGUUGGUAAGGUAACGGCUUACCAAGGCAACGAUACGUAGCCGACCUGAGAGGGUGAUCGGCCACACUGGAACUUAGACACGGUCCAGACUCCUACGGGAGGCAGCAGUAGGGAAUCUUCCGCAAAGGGCGAAAGCCUGACGGAGCAACGCCGCGUGAGUGAUGAAGGUCUUCGGAUCGUAAAACUCUGUUAUUAGGGAAGAACAAACGUGUAAGUAACUGUGCACGUCUUGACGGUACCUAAUCAGAAAGCCACGGCUAACUACGUG
rnacentral:rRNA from 1 species